rnacentral:rRNA from 1 species
UGGGGAAUCUUGGACAAUGGGGGCAACCCUGAUCCAGCGAUGCCGCGUGAGCGAAGAAGGCCUUAGGGUUGUAAAGCUCUUUCGCCCGCGACGAUGAUGACGGUAGCGGGAGAAGAAGCCCCGGCUAACUCCGUGCCAGCAGCCGCGGUAAUACGGAGGGGGCUAGCGUUGUCCGGAAUUACUGGGCGUAAAGCGCGCGUAGGCGGUCCACCAAGUCGGGGGUGAAAGCCCGGGGCUCAACCCCGGAAUGUCCUCCGAGACUGUUGGACUGGAGUUCGGGAGAGGAGAGCGGAAUUCCCAGUGUAGAGGUGAAAUUCGUAGAUAUUGGGAAGAACACCGGUGGCGAAGGCGGCUCUCUGGCCCGCAACUGACGCUGAGGCGCGAAAGCGUGGGGA